rnacentral:rRNA from 1 species
GGCGCACGGGUGAGUAACGCGUGGGAACCUACCCUGGAGUGGGGAAUAACUACUGGAAACGGUAGCUAAUACCGCAUAAUCCCUGAGGGGGAAAGGCUUCGGCCGCUCUUGGAUGGUCCCGCGUCUGAUUAGCUGGUUGGUGAGGUAAUGGCUCACCAAGGCGACGAUCAGUAGCUGGUUUGAGAGGAUGAUCAGCCACACUGGGACUGAGACACGGCCCAAACUCC